GAGAUUUUGAGCCACGUGUAAUCUCUGUGGGAGAGGGUAGAGGAGACGAAGACUUCUACAGUUGCUGCUGCUCUGGUCUUUUUUUCAUUUUCUGCUUUAUUAUUAACAAUGGAGGUUCCUUCAUCACGAAGCCAAUUCUCUCUCUCUUUCUCUCUCUAGACUCAUCGCUUCCGUAUUCUCCUCUUCUUUCUCGGAUUCCGGUGAUCCUCUUCGCCGUGAUUUCUCGUCGGAACUCGAGUCUGCUCGCAGUCCGGCAGUUUUUUCCCAUUUCGAAGUAGUUCCCGCCGCCGCGCGCGUCUGACUCCGGUGGAUAAACCACCAUGGCUGACAAAGAAGUUGCGGUUCCAAAAUUUGGUGAAUGGAACGACAGGGACGCCACACCGCCAGACAACUACACAGCUAUUUUCACCAAGGUGCGGGAAGAGAGACAAGACCAGGGAGCAAGGACGCCGACGCUGCCACAGAACAGUAACAUCCCAGAUAACCAAAAUAAUGAACAAAAUCAGAAGAAAUGCUGUUGUUUUCCAUGGCCAAGCAAAUGAUAUUGUUCUUUGCAUUUUCCACGUGAGAUUACUUAGAUUGCAUGAACAUGUGAGAAUAAUGUAGAUUAUUUCAUGGAUCUGGCUGCAGCUCACCUCCUUCAAUGCCAUCUGAUUGAAAGUGUUUGUCUGUGGCCAAAGUUGUAAGCAAAGACAAAAUUUGAUUGUGUUGUUUGGGGUUUACAAUUUUUUCUUAUUUCGAGAUUCAUCUGUUGGAUAUCUAUUCUUCAUUUUAAUAACUGUACUGUGAUUUUGGUGUUAUGUGUUCUUA